UAAAGGUGAGAACAUGGUAACGUGCAGAAAAAUUGAUUUGGGGCUCCAGGCCUCUCCUCUCUGAUCCCUUUCGGCUUUGAUUUGGGGGCAUGGUUCUGCAGCAAAACG